GGUUCCUGUGGUGUGUGUCUGUAGUCUAGGUACUUGGGAAGCUAAGGCAGGAGGAUGGCUUGAGCCCAGGAGUUCUGGGCUGUAGUGCACUAUGCCAGUUGGGGGUGUCUACAUUAAGUUCAGCAUCAAUAUGUUGACCUCUUGGAAUCAGGAGAUCAACAGGUUGCCUAAGGAGGGGGUGACCAGCCCAGGUUGGAAAUGGAGCAGGUCAAAACUCCUGUGCUGAGCAGUAGUGGGACUGCGCCUAUGAAUAGUCACUGUACUGGAGCCUGGGCAACAUAGCAAGACUUCUUCUUCU
ensembl:misc_RNA Metazoa_SRP Metazoan signal recognition particle RNA